UAUUUAAGUAAUUAAAAAUUUAAAUAUCUGUGUGAUGUCAAAUUUAGAGCCUUAAACUAAUUAUGUGUUUGCUACUGUAUUAUUGUAAUGUUAUUCUAAAACAAAGAACGGUUACUUAAAUGUUGUUUUGUGCAAAAAGUAUUCGUGGGUUACACAUUGUCAUAAAUCAUUAAACUUAUUCAUUGUGCACAUAUUAAUUGUAAUCAAAUUCUACGGUGUGCCAAAAGUUCGGAAACCAAGCCGUUUUUAUUUAAAGUUUUUGCUUAAUACGUAAAACCAAAUAGUACAGUAUCAAUUAUUUCUGAAGAAAAAUUUUUUUCAAAAUUUUUUAAGACAAAAAACGCUUCGUUUCAUUCAUACUUUCCAUACUAAUACGUAUGUUUGAAUCUAUUAAAUAUGGCCACACGAAAAAUGCGCACAAGAAAAAAGCCCACACGGAGAAAAGCUCAGACCGAAAAAACACUCACAUCAUAAAAGAAUAAGUCCACAUAGAAAAAAACGCACUGAGAAAAAAUCACAAAGAGAAAAAAAAUCACAAUGAAAAAGGCCCAUCCAGAAAAAAAAACUUACAUGAAUAAAAUUCCAACUGUCAGAAAGCUCACAGAAAAAUUAACUCACUGGGAAAAAACAAUUCCUGCAAUCAUGGAUAGAUUUAUAAAUUUGUAAUUGUUCAAAUAAUCAUAAAAAGGUUUUAUAACGCAUUUUUGCUACAAUACUAUUCUAUAAAACAGUUAAACUCAAUUUUAUUUGUUGCAUUUUUUAGUUGUACUUAAAAAUUUAAAAUUUUGGAAAAUUGUUAAAGGUUUUUCUACGUAUGGUUUAAACCUAAACUGAAUAAUUUCGUAUUUGCUAUUUUGUUGCACUGCUUUGUUGAAUUGUAUGCUGAUGUUCUUUUCACAAAUUGAAAUUGAAAAAAAAUUGAUGUAUUUUCAUAAAAGUGACGAAUAAAAAACGUCAUUUCAUUUUUUAUUUCUUAUUUUUUAAAAUGGAAAUUAGUGUUUUUCACUGCGUUUUUGGAUUAGUCAUGUUAUUCAAAGGGAGUUUUCCUAAACCUAUUUUUCGAGAAAUUUAGGAUUUUUUGAAAAUAUUUGGAUUUGCACCUUUCACAUCGGUAACUCUUCUAUUUUUAGAGAUUUUGAAAGCGUAUUUGGAAAAUUAAGAAAGAAUAUCUGUCCUUCAGUGUGUUCAAAAUUGGAAAAGAAGUUAAUAAACUCAAAAAUUUUAACGUUAAGUUUGGACAAAUACAUGUACACUGAUAACUCAUUUUCUCAAAUGGAGAACCCCAAUUUUGAUUUCACUAAUUGGAAGAGAAUUUUUUUCUACAUCGAUUUGUAUUAGCCUUUCCUAUAACCAUCUGGUACGUUUCAAGUUACUCGUAUGUUGGUAAUUUUUUUAACAUUGUGGAAAAUUUCUUACUAACCACAACCAUUUUUGUAUUGUUUACUAAAGAAACGUCAAAACAAAAUGAAUUCAUUGAAUGUUGGUUUGAAAAACUUUAAUUUCUCACAUUUUUUCUCUCGUUUCAUGUAAACGUAUUAGAAAAAACUAAUGAAUUUCUCAAUCCCAACAAAAAGUUCUCGUAAAUUGAAAACCAUUAAACAUUACUACAGCGAAUGUUAAUACAGAUCCAUGCAGAAUUAAAUUCUCUACCAUUUAUUAGCGAAAUAAAAAUUGAGGCAUUUCAUUAAAAAAAUUGUAUAUAGCUGCUUAAAGUUCUGCAAACUUAACUUUAAAAGCUCGGAGUUUCCUACGCUUUUUUAAAAAAAUUUGAAAACAAAGUUUUUUUUCAAUUGAACUAAAAACGAAUUAAAUUUUUUUUAAAUGAGAGCGUUAUCGAUUAGUGAAUUGAAUGGUGUAAGUUCACCAUUAAAUCCCGAAAUAUUUAGUAAAUGGCUAAAUUUAUCUAUAGGGAAAGCAAAAAAUUUAUUUUGAGAAUUCUUAAACAAAAAAAGGAUUCGUUCGCUAUUACAAAUAAUUCAACUAGUAGUAAUUCAUGACUGCACUAGUGGCAGUCAUGAAUUGAAAAAAUGCCGAAAAAUGAAGUUACUCUUGUGAAUUGACAAUAUGAUAUCUUUAAAGUGGAGAACAAAGAAAAACAGCUUCUAGCUUUAGCUUCUAGAGCCUUAAGGCUUCAGGCUACCGAAGCGAAUGUUGAGAAUUGGUGUACUACAAGUUGCAUACUUUUUUUUAGACCUGUUUUCAGUGACAGCUGUCAAUCAUCGGAUAGGCAUCCGACCAGGGUUAGUCAAGCGGCAUAGGAAAAACGGUUUAUUAAAUCAUACUAUCAACAUGCGGCGCCACGUGCGUUAUCUAUGCAGAUUUCUGUAAAUUUAGAGUACGUGGCACGGUCGUUAAUAGAAACUACUCAUGCCAUCUUUUGGUAGUGUGAUUUCAAGUUAAAUCCACGAAUUUAUCCAAAAAUCCAAAAUAUUAAGCAACCUUUGGUGCGCAAUGUCACACUACAUUCAACGGUGUCAAAAAGUUUUUUCAAUUAAAUGUUUCAAUUUCCAAUUUGAAUUAUUUUGCUACGUGUUGUGUUCGUGGUUUUCUCUCUUUAUUUUUAUUUGGAUUCGUUUGUUGGUGUUAUCUACUCCUAAAGUAAUCUCAAAAACAUUUAAGUUUUGAACUUUCGAAGGCUAAAAUUUGCUCUGGUGUGGACCUAUUAUACAUUUAAAAGGCAACCUACAACGUUUAUUAAACAACUUUUGGCUGGCUGGAACACAUGAUUCUCGAAACAGUGCAUCUCUCUACUUGUGAAAGCUAUCCAGAAACAAAUCGACUUGGGCACCAAAAAUAACUUCGAGAAUUUAAACCAAAUUUCAUUUUUCAAGUGGACAUCUAUGAUGGACACCGUUUAAGACUUCUACCUUGCACAUAGUGUCAUUUAUUUAAUACACGCGUUCAUUCAUUCAUUUGUACAAAAGCCACAAAAACGUAUCUUAACUCCCUCCUUUUUCCCGUUAAGUUUCAAGGAAACUUAGAACUCCUGAAUCCACCAAAGUGGAGUCCUUACAUUAAAAUCAGAAAAACCUCUUACGCAUAAUAAGUUCAUAUAAGUAAAUUUGUUGUAAAGUCAUCUACGUGAGCCUACUACCAACACGAAAACAUACAAGAAAUGUUUGCACAAACUAUUAAAAGCACUAUUUUUCUGUGAAAAUUGAAUUGGGCACAUGUCUAAAACUCCAAUAGUACCUUAUUAGGGUCCGUAUUUACUUAUUUAGUUCUUUAAUUUUUUUCCAAGUUACAAAAUAAUGUUAAAUAACCGUUUUUUGAGGGUGAGGAAGUCGCCAAAUUAAUAUGUGGAAGCCAAACACGACAUUUAUUUCUUAUAAUUGAUAUUUUCAUAAUUUGUGAAACGUUAAUUUAUUAAUAAAUUAUUUUCAUUCAUUGUAUUUAUUUUUUCUUUAUAUUUAUAAUACUAACAAAAUUUUGCAAUUAAACACAUUUAACUGAUUUUCAAUAAAAUCGGUUAUGUGUGUUUAAAUUGUAAAAAAAUAAAAAAAUUAAAUUAAUUGUGUAAAUAAUAAAAUAUUUAAAUUUGCCGCCAAUUUUAGUUCCUCAUACUACCAAGAUAUGGCGCUAUUAUCGAAAUUUUGACGACCAGUGAAUUACGUGUUACUUGAUUUUCUAUAACUACUAUAUUCUAUGCAUCCGACCUUCGCCUCGGGGUGUCUUGUCCCUUCUCAUAAAAUGCAAAUAAUGUAAACAAACUGAAUUCCACUAUCGCCCACGAUAGUUUCUCUUAUUUCAGAGAUUCAAGCAACAUACAGUGAAAAAUUCGUUUUUUAUUUUGUUAAAAAAAUUUGAUACUAAAGAAUAAUAAAAUACUAGCAUAGUUUUGUAAAAAAUAAUACACCAUUACACCAUUUAUUUAUUGGGUUUUAUGUUUUAAUUAACCGAAUUCUGUUCGCUAUAUUAUGUGUCAUGUGCAUUUCUAAUUGGAUCACUUGCAUUGAAAAAAUAUAAAAUAAAAAAAUUAAUUGGUGAAACAUUAUUGUUCUUUCAGAAAACAGUUUAACUUUAAAAAAGUUACUAGGAAUAUCUCAUUAAAAUGAUGAAAACUUCUUUAAACCCGCUUUUUCGUCUGAUAAUUUUAUCCAGGUAAUAAAUUCUGAAAAAUACAUUGUUGUAAAAAUUUAUUGUAACUAUACCCAGUAAUAAUUAUAGUACAAAUAACGUAUCGAGAGAUUGUAAGAUCCAGUCUUAGGGAUAUAAUUUGUUUACGUUACGCCUAGUAAAAUAAAUGAUACUUUUAUAA